AAAGUACGCGUGUCUUUCUGCAGGGUGGAAUGCCUCAGCUUUGUUCAGCAGCGACAAGCGGACUUCGUCCCCGUCGACCCUGAGGACAUGUAUGUGGCCUCCAAGAUCCCGAACCAGGACUUUCGUCGUCUUCCAGGAGUACAGGACUGAUGAAGAGCCUGAUGCGCCAUUCCGUUACGAAGCCGUUAUCGUGGUCCACAAAGACCUGCCCAUCAACAACUUGGAUCAGCUGAAGGGACUGAGGUCUUGCCACACCGGAGUCAAUCGUAACGUGGGG